rnacentral:rRNA from 1 species
AUGAUGAGGCAUUGGCAAGCUCCCUCCUGUCUCCUCGUCCUCCUCUUCGCCCUCGUUUCCUCCGAGGCUUCCACUCUAGACGAUACAUGCAGGUCCAUCGGCGCAAGCAAGAAGGACAUCGGCUACGACUACUGCAUCAAGUUCUUCCAGGCCGACAACGCCAGUGCGACCGCGGACAGGCGCGGCCUUGUCGUCAUCGCCACUAAGAUCACCCGAGAAGAGGCCGCGAACAUCCGGAAGCGGAUCGAUGCCCUCAAGGCCUCGGGGACGGACAAGAAGGUCAGCGGGCGCCUCUCCGACUGCCGCAUGCACUACACGAACGCGCUGAAAUGGCUCGAAGCCGCGGCGGAGGGCGUCAAGUCGGGUAAUUUGCAGAAGGCGAAGAUGAACCUCACAGGCGUGAUAUUGGGCACCGACACCUGCGAGGAAAGGUUCCGCGAGCUGGGUGUCGUGUCGCCGCUGGCCGCCGAGGACGCCGAGUUCUCCAAGGGCUGCUCUAUCGCUCUCGCCAUAACGACCAUGUUGUAG